GACGAACGCUGGCGGCGUGCCUAAUACAUGCAAGUAGAACGCUGAAGAGAGGAGCUUGCUCUUCUUGGAUGAGUUGCGAACGGGUGAGUAACGCGUAGGUAACCUGCCUUGUAGCGGGGGAUAACUAUUGGAAACGAUAGCUAAUACCGCAUAACAAUGGAUGACACAUGUCAUUUAUUUGAAAGAGGCAAUUGCUCCACUACAAGAUGGACCUGCGUUGUAUUAGCUAGUAGGUGAGGUAAUGGCUCACCUAGGCGACGAUACAUAGCCGACCUGAGAGGGUGAUCGGCCACACUGGGACUGAGACACGGCCCAGACUCCUACGGGAGGCAGCAGUAGGGAAUCUUCGGCAAUGGGGGCAACCCUGACCGAGCAACGCCGCGUGAGGGAAGAAGGGUUUCGGAUCGUAAAGCUCUGUUGUAAGUCAAGAACGGGUGUGAGAGUGGAAAGUUCACACUGUGACGGUAGCUUACCAGAAAGGGACGGCUAACUACGUG
rnacentral:rRNA from 1 species